GGGGCUGUAAAGGUUUCGACGUGUUGGCGAAAGCUGCACUGUGAUACAGGUCGAGAGGGAGUCUACUCUCGUUAAUAUCGGCUCAACUAAAUACAAAUGCAAACAACAUUGUACCUUUCGCUCGUAAAGCCGCUCCUGUAGCUGCCUAAAAACACUUAAGAUUAAUUUCUAAGUCCGAGCAUUUAUAGUAUGACUCCGUUAAAUACUAUAAAUAACCCUCAACGGAUGCUCUAUUUAAUCGUCUCUGGUAGAUUAGAUAGCUAAGAUUCAUCAGAGCAUCCUGCGACCUGGGAUAAUAGGUCACUCCCGUCUAGAGGAUUAGAUAGACUAUACCUGUGAACGAGCGGAAAGUUAAUACCCAGGGCGGACGGCAGUUCGACUCUGCCCAGCUCCACUU
rfam:Chamaesiphon minutus PCC 6605, complete genome.